rnacentral:rRNA from 1 species
CCUACGGGUGGCAGCAGUGAGGAAUAUUGGUCAAUGGUCGGGAGACUGAACCAGCCAAGCCGCGUGAGGGAGGAAGGUACAGAGUAUCGUAAACCUCUUUUGUCAGGGAACAAAGGCGGGGACGUGUCCCCGGAUGAGUGUACCUGAAGAAAAAGCAUCGGCUAACUCCGUGCCAGCAGCCGCGGUACUACGGAGGAUGCGAGCGUUAUCCGGAUUUAAGGGGUUUAAAGGGGGCGCAGGCGGUCUGUUAAGUCAGCGGUAAACCCACGGGGCUAAAACCCUGCCCGCCGUUGAAACUGGCAGUCUCGAGUUGGAGAGAAGUAUGCGGAAGGCGCGGUGUAGCGGUGAAAUGCAUAGAUAUCGCGCAGAACUCCGAUUGCGAAGGCAGCAUGCCGGCUCCACACUGACGCUGAGGCACGAAAGCGUGGGUAUCGAACAGGAUUAGAUACCCCGGUAGUC